CAGCAUCCGCGGUAAUACGGAGGGUGCAAGCGUUAUCCGGAUUUAUUGGGUUUAAAGGGUCCGUAGGCGGAUCUUUAAGUCAGUGGUGAAAUCUCACAGCUUAACUGUGAAACUGCCAUUGAUACUGCAGGUCUUGAGUAAAUUUGAAGUGGCUGGAAUAAGUAGUGUAGCGGUGAAAUGCAUAGAUAUUACUUAGAACACCAAUUGCGAAGGCAGGUCACUAAGAUUUAACUGACGCUGAUGGACGAAAGCGUGGGGAGCGAACAGGAUUAGAUACCCGUGUAGUCCCUGUCUCUUAUAC
rnacentral:rRNA from 1 species